UCCCUGGUGGUCCAGUGGUUAAGACUCUGCACUUCCACUGCAGGGGGCACGGGUCUGAUCCCUGAUUGGGGAA
rnacentral:tRNA from 1 species